rnacentral:rRNA from 1 species
GAUUUCUGGUACGAUGCCCCUGAUCCGCCUCUUCGGAGUGUGAGUGUCGGUGUGGCGUCUGCCAUCUUUGUGUGGGUCCGCAUCUUUUACUUUGAAAAAAUUAGAGUGUUUAAAGCAGGCUUUUGCUAUGAAUACAUUAGCAUGGAAUAAUAAUAUAGGACUUCGGUUCUAUUUUGUUGGUUUCUAGUACUGAAGUAAUGAUUGAUAGGGAUAGUUGGGGGUGCUAGUAUUCAGCGGCCAGAGGUGAAAUUCUUGGAUUCGCUGAAGACUAACUUAUGCGAAAGCAUU